UUUGCUUGCUUUCUGGUUUCAUUUGCAAAAAACAAUGCAUACAUAUGUUUAUAUGUGUGUGAAUGUAUACAUAUAUAAUUAUAUAUGUAUAUAUAUAUGUGUGUAUAUGUGUGUAUAUAUAUAUAUUUAUGUAUAUAUACACUGUAUAUAAAAUAAAAAUAUACAGCCAAGCAUCAGAUCCCAUGGACUUGGCAGAAGCAAAACACAGAUAUGUUGUCUCUAUUUGGUUUGUAUAAAGUUGUUUGCAGAAACAGAAGUUACUUUACUGACAAAGUGAGAAAACAAAAAUAUCAAUGUGGAGUGUGACGAAUAAUGGAGAUUUGUGAAGUGGGGAGGGUGAACAUUUGAAAAGCAGAAGAGAAACAAAAGUGAAGCAAAAAUGGGUUAUUAGCAAUGUUUAAUCUUUCUUAAUUGCUCUGAAGAUAGAUGUUAAAGGUUACAGUUGUCCAUGGGAUUUUGAAUACAGUUAACAUGGUAAUGUGUUUAUACUAAUUUUGUUUUCUGUGAGCCCAAAGAAAUUGGGGAGCACCAAAACAUAGUCCUAACAUAACAAAAUUAGUAGGAAUUCUUGCCUUGUUAUCUGCAGUGAUGCUUCAAAAUGUAUCCAUUAAAGAGUCAGAAGGACUGGCCAUGUGGAACUGACUCAACUUCUCCCUUUCAGAUACAUUUUGAUAUAUUGAUGGCUUUUCUUUCUGGUGAGAUAUAUGAUGUGAUAUCCAGCAGGCAACUGCAGUCUAUUUUAUUUCUUACAGGCUUUUUCAAGUCUUCUUUUUUGAGGCUUGCCAUGAGUUAAGCAUUUCUAUAAUAGAGAACAGACAUCAUCGAAUUUCUGUGUACAUUUAAAAUAAAAAGAGGGAGAUUAGAAUUUUUUGUCCUUAAAAGUGAAACAUAUAAAUAGUUUAGGGGGGUUCUUCUGUUUGGCUUUGUUUUGUUUGUUUUUGCUUUGUUUUGUUUGGGAUGAUUUUUUUUCUUAAAAAAAAUCCCAAGAUAGUAUUAUAAAUGUUCUGUUUCUAGUGUCCUGAAACCAUUUGAGUAACACAAUAAUAACAUUAAAAUUCACCCAAGGCUAGUGCUUUCACAUUUCUUUUCAAUUCGUCAUGCUGUACCUGCAUUUUUGGUAGAACUUGGUCUUGCAGUAACCUGAGAUUGGCAUUGCCUUGUAGCUGGGAACUUCCGCUCAUACUCUUGAUUUCCUUGUGUGGCAGGGAAGGCAGUGACACAGUGACUGAUGCUAACAGAUAGCUCAGCCUGCUUCCCAUCUCUUUUUUCAUAGGUUUCUAUGGGUUUUUCAAACUCCCCAUCUGGAAGAGAAGCAGUCCAAAUAAUACUAGAUUGUGAAGUAUAAACAGUGUGGGGUACUGAGAGUUUAAGUAAAGGUAGUAAUGAAAUGCCAGCAUAGUGAUUAUAAUGGAAGUGAGGCAUGAGAUUAAUAGGACCAUGCUAAAAGAACUAAUGUACCACAACUGAUAUGUAAGUGAAUGGAUAGAAGUCAUUUCAUUUAAGCUUCACUAACAUGUCAAGACUUCUUUUUUUAUUUAUAUUCUGAUUGCCAGGUAUUUCAAUUAAAGGACAAAAUGAGGUCUUUAUCUGACUCCUCCUCUUGUACACUGUUGUCAUUUUUGGUUCAGAAAUCACAAUUACUUCAAUGGUUAGAAAUUGUAAUAGCAAUAUUCUUUCCAACUUGUGCUGCCAGUGGAAAAAUCAAAGUUUAAGGAGAAAUUUGGUAAAACAGGAUGCUUAGCAUGAAAUUUCAGAUUGCUGUAGAGCAACAUUUCCAGACUAAAAAUACCUCCUUCCUGACACAGUUAGAAAUCUAAUGCUACAAACAGGUACAAACUGGAUUUGUAAAAAUUACUUGCCUUUGAAAAUCUUGCUAAACAUUACAGUUGUCAGCUGUAAGUGCCUACAGACAUUUGAAUAUCUGCUGUGUAAAAUAAUAUGAUUUGCUGAAAAUCUUCAGAAGGUUCUCUCCUAAACUACUAGACAUUCUUGCAAAUUUCACCCAGUAUCUUUUAUUGCACCCUACUCCUCUUGCAUAGGAAGCUGAAAUUCAUGAGCUACUGAAACCUGAAUCUUUUCUUGGGAAUUACUAUCGCACUGAGAAUAAAGGUUAGCUUGAUUAUACAUAAAAAUAAGUCUCCCAGAUGGUCCUUGCUGAUGAAGUCUGCACUUCCAGAUUUUGAGUUUUCGUGCUCUCAGAAGCACUGGUGUACAGAGUCGCCAGAAGGAGGAAGAAUAUGCAGAUCAUUUUUGCAUAAACUUAACACAUUCCAUCAUAAUAAGAAGGAAAAGUAACAGGUUUAUGGUGCUUCUCAUUUUCUUUGUCUAAUUUAUUGUCUGCAUUCCCAGAGCAUCCAGUGUCUGCAAUACAGCCAGUAUCAAAGCACUCACGCAGCCCAUUCUGCUCUGGAGCACUAAAGCAAUCUGAGCCGGCUUAUCGAAAUCCAGUGGUGCUGGCUUGGCUGAGCAGAUAUGUUUGCCUUUACACUUCACCAGCCAAGUCAGGAUUCUGGUCAAAUGCCAAGAUCUGGUAUUUAAAUGUAUAUAUCAUGGAAAGAAAAGAUCCAGAUUAUCCUGCUUGUAUUUUCUAGUGUGUGGGUUUGGAUUUUUUUGAACCUAAUAUUGUUGUGUUUGUUUUUUUUUUUAAUUGGGCUCAUUUGAAGUUGCUUCAUCCUCUUCUGUUGAUAGGUCACUGCCCUCUGGCUUGCCUGAUCCCUUUUACAGCAAACUGAAAAUUAAAUGACCUAACCCAGCACAGUCUCCUUUUUGUUACUCUGAUAAUGUGUAGCUUUUAAAGCUCUUGAGUUUCUGCCAAACACCAGGACUUGGCCUUCUACCACCCUCAGUGCUACAGUCCAGUAAUGCAAAGGUUACUGAACUCACUUCUGCAGCUGUGAGAUAUGGUGCAUAUCACUAUGAACCUGCUGUGCAAUAGCCAAGACAAGGGCAGCAGAGAAUGUGGCCCUGGAAAUCAGAAAUUUUCAGAUUUCAUGUGGUCAGAAUCAAAUCCCAAUGUCUAAACAUAUUACUUUGGUCCUGAUCCUGAAUCUGAGGUGGUACUCCACAGAAUCUUUUUGAAGCCUUUGUGUUUGGGGUACUCAAAUGCUGAAAAUCAUGUCCUCUUUGAAGCUAAAUAUCAUAUGAGAGACAUUUGGCAAGAUUAUUUCCACUUAGUAAUUACUAUUGAUUCACUGUUGAAUCCCAGACCUGAAUCUUUUAAGUAUACGAUCUGCAUCUGAACACUUGUAUCUCUUUAAAAGAAGCUGGUGUGAAGGUAAUUUCCUCACUCUACUCCUUUCAGGAUUUUCCAGGCUGGCUUGAGACAUUCACUGGAGCAGACCUCCUACCACUUUUUGCCCCUUUUCCUAAAGUGAUUUCUUUGGAGAUAUCUGUAGAUCCACUUAAAAAGCAGCAGAUAUCUUAGGACCUUUCCUGAGUGAAGUAGCCAACAGAUAUCACCUGUACACACAUAUGUAUGUAUAAGGAAUUAUUUUAAGUGAUGGCAAUGACAGCUGCCAUGCAAAACCCAUUUGUAUUUUAUGUAAUGCAAAAGAAACCAUUGCAUGUUCAGGGAUAAAAAAUACUUGCUAUUCAUCUUAAUGCAAACAAGUCUAGAUACCCUUAUAUCUCUAGAUCUCCCAAAAUGGCUUAAUGUAAAUGAUAUAGGGGGCAUAAAACUUUUCAUCUGCCCUGAAGAAGCAUUUACUUAACAGUCAAGAGCAGUUCCUCUCUUGUCCCUAUGGAAAUGAUGCUUGUCCCAGUACUAAAAAACUUGUGGCAAAAAGCUUCUUGUUUCUGCACCAGAAACAUGAUGGUUUUCCCUGGUUGAGUACAGAACUCUCUUCUGGUCUGUUUCAGGGAGAUCCAAGGCUCAAAUACUCAAGUUCUUCAAAGCUCAAGCUGGGGUCCUGAGAUUGUGCUUUUGAACACAGCUCCAUGAUGGUGUUUUGGUCACUCAGCCACUCUCAGGGAAUGAAAGAUAUGUAGGAAAAUAUCUUUAUUCUGGAAUAGGAAGCACUGUGCUAUCACAAAGGAAGCAAGCAUUUAUCUCUUUCUAGUCAGAUGAGGAGCACCCCUACAAUCACAUCUUACUGAGACUUCAAAGCCUUGAGGAUUAUAAUUAUGCUUUCCUGACAGCAACUGUUGCUGUCUCCUCAUACCAUUGCCCUUGUUUCUGUUAAGGAUGCCCAUUAAUGCAGCACUCUGGCACCAGGCAGGCUGGAUGCUGGUGGUCAGGCAUCUGAUUGGGAUCACUGUACUGCUCAAUACAGUGAGACCCAAACAGUCACCAAUUAGCCUGAAGCCCAUAAUACAGCCUCUUGAAAUGGUAUAUUAAGGUUUAAUCCUAGCUCCCUGGCUUGACACAUCCUGUGUUUCUUCCGUGGUACAGUUGCAAGUUUUCCCUUCCUAUCAGUCCAUCAAUUUCUUAUGUGAUUUUUUUCCAGAAAAAUUUAGUCUGUGUUUCCCAAAAAGCUUCAUAUAUCAUAAUGCUGUCAUUGUCUAAUCAAACUGGUAAGCUUUUUCUAUGAGACAGCGGCAGAGAAGCCAAAAUCUACAAUUCUUUGCACUGGAAAUUACAGUGUUUUGUACACAUACCCACACACAGGAGACACAUACCCUACAGGUAUGGUGUCUGUAUCUAUAAUUUACUGGCCUGUACCCAUCCACUUGCAGACUGUCUGGGUUAGAGAUUCAUUUGCAGAAAACAAGCAGAAACUCUUUUCCAAGAGUCUACAAACAACUAGUAUAGUACAAAAACCAGGAUGCUGAAAGUGAAGAAAAUUGAAGAAAUCAAGAGAAGUGCUGAUUUGGCUGUUGUCCUCCAUAGCUGCAUCAAUUCUUUAAGCACCUAGGGAAUUUUCAUUGCUCUUCUAAGAGAAACAUCCAACACAAUCCAGUGCCCAGUUACCCCCAGUCUCUCCCUCUGACAAGCAGGAGUUUUGCUCCAUUUCUGAUGUUGUGAUCAAGAAAUGGCAUUUAAACUUACGUGCAUGCCUCUGAGUACUCAGAGUAGUAGAUUUCCCAUCUCACAGGCUGAAUUCCAUAUGGACCCAAAGGUGUCCCAGUGUGUAAUAGAGUUACUUGUUUGAUGGAAUUUCCUAGCUACAAUCUUACAGCCAAAACAAAACCAAACGAGCAAGUUUUACUAACCAAUCAUGCAGGUGACUUACAGGAAUUUUGGUUUUCUUUUUUUUGUUUGUUUGUUUUUUCAGCAUUAGGAAUACUGAGAUUGGUUUUCAGCAUAUUGGUCUUCCUUCCUAUGUAAGGUCCAAAGGCCCCACCCAUAAGGAUAUUUUACCUAUAUAUGCACUAUAUAUACAGUGUGCAUAUAUGUCUAUAUGUCUAUAUGCUAAAGUAAUAAAUUGCCAAUAUCAGCAGUAGCCCCUAUCAUCCAAUCACAUGUUUACACAGAAAUUCAUGCCUUCAUCUAACCCUGGCAUUCGCUGGUGUGGACAGAUGCAUGAUAUUGUUAUAUCUUGGUGAACAAAGCACGUUAAUUUCUUUUCUGUUAGAAUUAUUUCUUUCUUCCUUUUAUUUAUUUAUUUACUUUUAAUUGAUAAUUUCAUCUACCAAUUAGCCUUGGGGUAGGGUGGGGCAGGGAGAACAAAAAAAUUAUACAGGUAUAUCGAUCGAUAUAUACACACAUACUCCGUGUAUAUAUAGAUAGAUAUAUACAUUGUAUAUAUUUGAAGAACAUUUUCUAUCGUUUCACCUCAUCUUGUGCCGCAUGAAUUUUUGGUGAUUGAUAUUUUAGUUUAUUUUAUAUUUCUUUCCCUUUUUUUUUCCUUUUUUGGCUCGUAAUCGUGCCAUACCGCUAUUUUUUAAUUUUUAAAAUCAUUGCUGUACUUCUCAAUUUAUAUUUUUGGAGUUAUUCCAAUAAAAUCAUUAUUUGAUCAUCUCAAGAAUGAGAUAUAGAUCUGCAAAUAAUAAAGGCAACAAAAUCUUUUCUUGCCAUCCUUGAGAAAACCAAAUUUUUGGACAUCCCAAGAAAGUUGUGUGCAAAAGAAUGAAGAGUGUUACCCUUCCUUUAUUCUUAUUUUCCCUUCUCCCUACCUCUUUUAAACUUCUCCAAAAUCUCUAUCCCAUUUUUUCCCUUUUCCCUUUUUUUUCAACUGAGUUAAGGAAAAAAAUCACCCAGAAGAAAAACCUUUCCCUUUACCCCUGAGUUCUCCCAGGAAAAAUUCUUCCAACAUAAAGAGCCCUACAAACUGCAGAUGGCAUAAAAAGAAUUUUAUUGCAAUGCAGAAUGUCUGUUGUAUCUUUUAUUUCUGGGUCAGUGCAAAAUCAUUUUUCUGGCAUGCUGUAGUUUAGCUGAUGUAACUAACCAUGGCCUUCAUUAACCGGUGCAUGGGCUGUGAUGAUGCCAUCUUGUGUUCCAUCAGAGCUACACAUUCAGGCUAACCAAGCAAGUCUGUAGUGUAUGAUUUGGUGGGAUAUAAUUUUGAUUUUAAUUUGCAUUAUAAUUUAUUCUUUUUGGAAGAGUUAUGCCAGUACCGUCGGUUGCUUCUUGCAGCCUCAGAGUUAUAUAUCUACUUUGUUUUAUGGGGUUUUUUUCUCUUUUUUUUAUUUCUCAAGUAGCAAUUUUGCGUCUUCUUUGUGUUCAUCUGUCAUGUCACUGUGUCUUGGAGUCCACUGGCCCAGUGUUGUUAUGUGAUUCUGUUCUCUGUUCGUAAGCUGGUGUUCAGCUCCUCAGCACUCUUGUCAUACCUCUUCCCUUUCCCCUUCCCUCUUCCCCUCCUCACCUGCCCGAGGGGGAUCCACAAAGAGGCACCAAGCUUUGAAUGACAUUCUGAGUGUCUCCCCGUGGCUUCAAGAUGAAUGUUGCAAGAUGUCCACACAGCUUCAUAAGAAAAACCAAGUUUGCAGCUGUUCUGUUUUCAAUAGUUUUCAAACUCUGUUAUCAUUUCACUCCUAGAAGUGCCUUACUGGCAUAAUGCUAAAGUGACUUCUUUUGCAGCUUUUUAGAGGAUUUGUAUGUACAUGCUGAUGUGUUGGAGUAAGAACUUCUCUUAUCUGUGCUCUAGGUGCCAGACAAUGCUACACAGAGUGCAGGCUAUGUUAAAUGGGAUAUACCUAGGCAUUUUUAUAAAAGACAGUGUUAGAAAGGGAAUAUCACCGUGCAUCUGCUGCUGAAAUGAUAUCUCUGUGAAUAUUUUUUUAAAAUUUACAGUUCAUAGUUCAUUUGUAGGUAGGAGACAAAAAUCUAGGAACGUACUUAAGAUUUCUAGGAGUAGUGCAUCUUCACUCUGUGGGGUCAGUCUUCUGUUUGUCGCUGGGUGAUGUCUGCCUCUCACUGAUACUGGUGAAAAGUGCUUGCUGAUGUUUACUUGUAUAACUUGAACACAACUGUGGAAACACAUCUGGAGUGUCUUCUGCCAUAUGCGUCAUAAAUGUGCAAUAAUGUACAAGGCAGAAGAAAACAAGCUGAGUUUUCAGGUGUCUGCUUAGACUUGAAACACUAUUUAGAAAAAAUAUUGUUUGGCUUCUACAGUAGUGCAUUUCCUGGUAUCCUUAAUUCAGUCCCUGUUGAAGGUACUAGCUACAUUAAUGGCAUAUAUCUUUACAUCUAUCUUUAGCCUAGCUAAAAUUCCAGUUGUUUUGCAGGAAUUAGUUUGUUCUGAAGAGAAGAUGAGAUGAUGAAAUCUAUAAACUUUUUUCACAAGAGCAUGAUUUAAGACUUACCUGUUUAAGAUAAGAGUUACCAGAAGAGGGAAGUGAAGGGACAUGUUCAAGUCUCCAACAUGGAAUUAUUUAAUUAUUUCAUUUAACUUAACCGAGAUAUGUUUCUUGUACUUGCAGAGAGAUAAAAAGAAGAUAGCUUUUCUUUCACCAGUGGGAACCAAUGAUCUUAUGCUCAGUUCAGUUUUCUUAAUUCAUAUAUAGCCUGAGAAACAUUACUGAGUGAAGUUAUUAAAUGAAUCAAUAUUUAAAGCUUGGCUGGUUUAGAUUUUAGAUCUCUGUGUUUUUCACAACUAAUAAUUCCUACUGAAUCUAAAACUUUUUCUUGGCAAUUGCUUAAAUAGAGCAACUGCUUAUAAAAUUGUAUUAUAAUCAACAAGCUCAUAGUUUUGUGUAAUACUGCCCUCUGGCAGAGAGACCAGAACAGUCCUAUUAUGAGACUAAACAGCAAGAGAACCAUUUUUUUAGCUCAAGUGGCAGGUUAUUGGAGCAGAACAAUCAGAGUUUUAGCCCCCUGCAUGAUGAAGUUCAGGGUAACCUUCAGAUUGGAGUAUUGUGAUGAAUAAAUCAAGUGUCUGGGUGUCAGGACAGUAAGCUUCAGGCUGUGUCCUGCUGAAUGGUGACUUUUGCUUGCCUUAGGUAGCCUGUGACUAGCCUCUGCUAAGGCUCUGACUAUCCUUCUGGUGCAGGGAAUGAGAGGCUCACUCAGGUGCAGGGGAUGCUGUGGAAGGUCCCACUGUGCUCUGUUUUAUCCCACUGAAGAUCUGUAUGGAUAUCUGGCACUUGUAAAAUUUGUUCUUACUUUUGUUUUCUGUCUCAUGGCAGACUGUUGGCUUCAGCUUUUGUGACCUUUGUUACUGAGCAAGGGGAAGAGCUGAGGGUUCAGUUGUUUAGGCCAAGAAUAAAAACACUGAACUCUGGUGUGCCACUUCCAACUUUGUGGUUGAUUCCUUCUGUGACUCUGUAUGUAUAUUGUUCAUUUGCCUACCUGUAAGGCAGGGUAAAUGAAAUACUUCUAACUAAAUGAGGUGGAGAUGAAGGGAAAGGAGAUUUAAUCAGUAUUUUAACGGACUCUGAUAUUCAGGUGCAAAGUGCUGUUCAACACACCAAAAUUGUAUAGUACUGCUAAGUACCAAAAUAAACAAUAUUAUUGUUUAGGUUUUAAUACUAUCUUCACUUGCUGUGAGAAUUAAUAUUAUUGCGUAUUUUUAUACAGUAAGUACAACUGCUGAUCUGCUACUACAGUGAGGGAUGCAAAAGUCAAGUAUUUUCAUGUCAGGGAUCUCUGGUGUGACAUUAUUUUCAUUAAAUAUUACUCUUACCUCUAGAAUUAACACAUGCAAUGGAAUGAACCAUGCUCAGGCUACAUAAUUUAAUGUCAUGAGUGCACAGCAAUACAGAGAUCUUUCAUAUCAGCAUUUACAUCACUUGGACUUGGCUCCUGAUCAGAAUUUCGCUUUAAAAACGUCAUAGUUUCUCCAGCCUAACUUAGCUGGUGUUAAGUUUCCCUGGUUUUGCGUUUAAGAUCAGAAUCAGACCCACAGUCUGGCUACCUUGCCCUUGCUGCCUUCCAGUCUUUUUUUAAAGCGUGUUCUCUAAACUCAAAGCCAUGUGCGCUGUCACAUUCUGGCAAUCCCUCUAGUGCUGUGCCUAUGUUAUCAAGCUGACACAUGUCUAAAAUACUAAGAUAUGAUAUUUUCAACCUGCUGGGACUUGCUUUUUGUCCCUGUUAGCUUUGAUUUUCAGCUUCAUAAAAUAUACGGGAAAGAAAAUAAAAAUAGCCAAUGACACAUUCAGUGGAAAGAAAAGCUAGCACAUGACUCAGGAAAAGAUUUUGCAUCAAAAGCAAAUGUAUGUAUAUUAGACCCUUAAAUAUCUAUGGCAACUGAUUAGUUACCUUCCAACAAGAAGAAACUAUUUGAUUUCUGAAAGAUAUAUAAUAUCUGUUAGAGAGAAAAUGUGUUGAACAUUUACAAAUACUAGGGACAGAGAUACACUUUUGCUCCUUAAGGUUUGUAUUAUGUAUUUCUUUUGGUCAGCAUGCCUAGACCUGAGGGACCCUUAAAGGUGCUCUCAAGGUACUGCUGGUCACAUGAACUAUAACACCUGGAAUAAUACCUCUGUAGAGCAGGCAAACAUACUCUACCUUCAUUUUCAACCCAAGUAUAUAAUGAGAUACAAAAGUUAAUAAUGAUAUCAAGGAGGUUAUUACUUUGCCUUCCUUCUGCUUAUUUCAGAUCCAAUUUAUUAUUCACAAGUGCUAGAAAUCUGUGCUUUAUCCCAGCUGUAAGCAGCUGGAAACACCUAGGUAAUGUGAAGUGUAGUAUUUCUUUAAUACUACUUACCUUAAAUGCUGUGUGAGGAGCAGGAAACAAAGACCAUACCAGUUUUGAAACUAGGUAUCGAAGCACAACAAACAAAAACAAAUUAGACUGACUUGCUUUGAAAUCUUAGAUGUCUACUAAUUUGGGAACCCAUUUUAUUCUGCAUUUUCAUUAUGCUAAUAAAUACAUUAUUAAAACCUUACAAAAGAGCCACAAUCAAGGACUUUCUUUUUUUGCUUCUGUUGAGUCUCAUAAAAACUGAAGUUCUCUGGUCCCAUGAGGUGAUGUUAUAAGGAUCAUCAGCUCCUCUUUUGGCAUGUAGGAGGAACUAGAACUAGUAGACAGACAAAGGUACAGAACCUCAAAGUAAACUUAUUUUAGAGUAACAAGAAAAUCCCAACAAUUUUAUCUCUUCAUAGGUUUCACUCCAUCUCAGUGUCAGAGGCAUCAAAAAGAGGGAAAAGUUGUUUUUUCUUUGAGGGACAGCAGAAAUGCACAGCAAUUGUGUGUGUGUGUGGGUGUUCCAUUUUUUUUUUUAAAGAUGUGAAUUUUGUUUUCCUAAUACUGAAACCAGUAUGACAGGUUUUAGAUACUAGUUUUAGCAACUACUAAUUUUAAGUGCUGAAAUCUUGGGGGCUUCAUAAAUUUUAUGUUUGACAAAUGAAAAGAGCAAAAAUAGUCCUGUAAACAGUUCAGGGUAUUUCCCAGUGUAUCAAAGUAUAAUUUUAGUUCCUUCUCCUAACCUCUUUCUGUGCAGUAACAAGUCUACUGUGGAGUGCCUGGAGAUCGGUAUUUCCCCUAGAAUCUAUAAUUCUCCUGUGUGCUGAUUUUUUUAGUGCUAACACACAGAUCAUUAAUAUGUUGCAAAACCUGUGUAUGCAUGCAUACUCUGUCUUGGUACAUGUGCAUAUAUUUAUACAUCUAUUAAUGCCAUAUUUAUGUUCUGGCUAAAAGAAACAUUUUGGGGAACUGAAAUAGAAUAAAAUUGUUUAGGAGCUUUACAAGCAAAUGUGGAACAAAUAGAUUGAAUCUUACCUCCUCCUCUUUCUCAUACUCCUUUUCAAUUCGGUUAAUUCAAACCUUUGGCUUUUGUCUAACUCAGAAAGCAGGUAGUUCAUCCCAGCAUUUGGGGGAGGUGUUUUGAGAGUGAAGGCAAGUGUGACUGUCAGAAUUGAGAUCUAGGCACAGUCUGAAAUAGAAGACCUCCAGCACGCAUCUGAACUUGCAGCACGGAGGUGCCUUUGGUGAGAUUCUGAAUCAUUUGCCUCUGUCAGGGUAUUGGGGAUUGUCACAAACCUGUGGCAAGGAUUAAAGAAGGUUUGACAGCUGGAGAGAAAGUCAGUGCAAUGGGAGUAUGUGAUGUAACUGAAACUGAAUAAAGUACUCUUUUGUGCAGUAAACUGGACAUACUACUAGAUCUUUCUUAUUCCUUUAGCUGAUGGAUAGCAUUCUCCUGCAACACUGUAAAUCAUGAGCAAUCCUCUCGUAGAAAUCACCAAAAAUUAGUCUGGGGGCACUUUGGGGGUCUUUGAUGGUUUAUGUCCCCUUCUAAGGCAAGACUGGUUUCUUGGGCCUGCUAGUUGAGCCAAUUGUGCCUUACUGAAAAGGAUGGAUACCUUCAGGCUUAGCAUGAAUGUCCCAACACCUCCUCCGAGGGAGGCGGAGGGGAGAAGGAGGAGGGGGUGAGUUUUACACCUCAGCUUCAUCGGAGGGAGGACAUUGGCAUGAUAAAAGGCCAAUGUCCUCAUACUUUGCAGGAUCUGUUUCUUAAUCUGUUUCUUAUAAUCCUUUUUCCUUAUCUGACUCAAACUCCAACUUGCUGCUAAACAAAGGCUGGUUUGUCGUGAUCAUCGUCCAGUGGUGGGUGUGCACCCCCUCUGCCCCUGGGCUGUUCUUAUGCAGAUCAGCGGUUUCACCACCACACACUCAAAACCUCUCCUCCCCCUCGGACGGGGGCUGCUAACUUGGCCUCAGCAAGGCACCUGCUGCUUCUGCAAAAGAUGGAUUGUUUAAAUCAUUAACUUCUAACAUUUCCAUUUCUCACACCCUUUACUUCGUAUGCUUAAACAUGCAUCGUAAGCCCAAAAGGAAUUCAGAGACUGGAAGGUAGUUGAAGGUGUUCAUGCCCUAGUUAUUUUUAUUUUUUUUUUAUAAAAACUUAAGAUGUGGUGCUGGCAAAGUACUGUAGGAAUUCCGUCUAAUUUAUUCCUAACUCUCUGUGUCAUAUCCAAAACAAGAAAAUGUUAUUUAACUCCUAAAAUGCAAAAUUCAACUUUUGCCAUACAGUGCUUUUUCAUUUUGAAAUUGAUACCAAAAAAAAAAAAAAAAAAAAUUGCAUUCUAUCAAAGUGUCUAAUUACAAAACAAAGUAGAAAGUGUUGAAGUAUUGUGUGGGGACACUACAUUUGUCUUUUUUUUUUCAUUUUUGAAAAUAUGACUAGUAACUUUCACCUGUAAAUAACUUGAGGGCUUCUUACUACUUCUCUUCAGUUUUUCACCUUUUUUCCUCCCUGUUAGGUUUUUCAGAACAUUAAGCUGUACUUUUCUCUAUAGGAAACAUCUAUCACUAACUCUGUAUGAAUUGUGUUAGAAGACUAAAACCUUUGAUUACAUUUAUCAUAGGAGCUGAGCCAGUAUUUUUCAAAAUCUUCAAUUGGUUUGUUCACAGUUUUUCCUUGUAUUUUGAAUAGCAAUGGUAAAGUCCAUCCCUGAAGCUGUGUGAUCUUUUCCACAUAUGGUGUUUUCCAAAUCCAUCACUUUUCCCUUGGAAAGAAAAAGCAAACAAAAAUUGUUUUGGAUAGAGAGGAAAAAAAGUCUCCUUCACUAAGAUGAUAUUUUUAGAAACAGAUGGUAAAACAAACUGCAGAUGUUGUGCCUGCAGCACCUCUAUUCUAAUAACAGGAUUGUUUAAAGAUGAAAGCAGCCAUUUGUGUGCCUAGCUCACUCUGUUAGUAGUAAUUCUUCCUCCAUGCAGGAAGAGUUGGAAAACCUGGUGCAGUAUUUUUUUCCCUAUCUUGCCUCCUCUGGAAAGGUAUUUACACAGUUCUCUGCUAAAGAAUGAGUGUUCUGGUAGUGCAGUCUAUAGCAAAUGAAAAGACCUGAUAGUUUAGGAAAGAUGAAUCUCAGUCAUCUAUACCUCAUUUACUAGUAGAUAUUUUUUUGUCCUGAAGACUUUUUUUCUUUGCCUCCCAGAUGACCUUUCCUUCCUGAUGAGAAGCUGCAGGUUUUCCGUUGGCCUGUCUCAUAGCUGGCAAAUGUCCAAGCACAAGCUGCCUAUUCAGAUAGUUUAAGAAAUUUUUAAGACCUGCCAGGCUUGGCAGUCCUCAAAUAAGAACACUACAUUUACACAAAUAUUUAGAGUAUCCUGAGGAGUUUGAGCAGUUUUGUUUCUUUUUCCACACUGAAAAUUGCUUAGCUUCCAUUAAAGCUAAUUAAUUAGGAGUCUGAACAGCAAAUGAGGUAAAAGCCAUUUGGACUACUGUAAAAGCAGACUUUUAAUGAAGGCCCAGCUUUAUGGUGUUCUAUUGAUACUUACUGCUUUUGCCUUAAAAUCCCUAUAAAAGCAAUAUUGUUUAUUGUAUUUUAUUGGGAUUUAAUCUCGGAUGCCAGCUGCACAUUCAACAUGCUUAUUUAAAAUGAAUUUUAGUAAUUAGAUCUUGGGGAUGGCUGCAUCUGUGAAUGUCCAAUAGCUCUGACACUGUUUUAUAGCUAUAUUGCCAUAAUUUUUCCAGCAGCUAAGAGGAGCUUUGUGGAUAUUAGAGCAGCUGAGCAUUUGCUUAAAAAAUCUAAAUUUUAGACUUACACACUGACGAGAGAUAGUUAAUCCUUUUGUGGACCAGGCCUUUAAGGUCUGUCUGAAUGCAGGACUUGAAAUAAGAUCUUAGAGUCUUAAUUCAUCUUUCACUUUCUAACCUCAGUAAUCUCUCCUUCAUUUUUAAACAAAAGCUGCAUUUUGAUCCUGCAGAUUUCUUAAACCUUCUCUGUCAGGUACACACACCAGGAGGUCAUUUUUCUCAGGAUACAGCCAUGUUAGGGCAAUGACAACUUUUACUGUGGUGUGUCAUACUGCAUAAAUUUUCUUUUUCAGGGAGAUUUCAGCAAAUGCAAACCAAGACAAUAGAGCUAUCUACAGUGAAGUUAAAGAUUUUAGACAUCAGCUUAGAGCAAUGAUUGUUGUUCCUUGUUGAACAGCAGCUCUUUAUCAGUUUUCUCUUUUGUUUUGUCUUGUGCUAUUAUGGUAAUGAAAUGCAUAGAACUGUACACAUCAUUUCAGGGGUAGUACUGACAAAGCCACUGUUAUCUCUGGGCUCCAUUACAGUGGAGCCUCUGCUAAUACACGUCCUGAGUUCUGAAUGUAGCUGGGAAGCUUAAUAAACAUAGAGAACUGGUGUGGUGGAAAGAGAUUCUUUGCAAGAAAGGAUUAAGGGAUGACAAAUGCAGUUUCAUUUUAUAAAAUCCAAUAAAUUGGAGUGUUGUGUCUCUGACUGGAGCACUGGGAAAGGUGCUGGAAAUAGAAAGUAAGGGAAAUAUAUUUAUUUAUAUAUGUGGGUUUAUAAACAUAUAUUUAUGUCUGUGUAAUACAUAGUACAUAUAUAUGUGUGUAAGUGUACAUAUAUAUAAAAACCCGUAGGUAUUAUUUAGUUAAGUAAUAUGAUGACAGAUUUCUAAUAGUUGUAUCAAAUAUCUUAGGUUUGAAAACAGAGUGCUGGUAAUAUCCUGUACUUGUCUGCAGGAGAUGGACUGCGUAUCAUAUUUCAGGUCUCUCUGAUUCUACUGUAAGAAAUUGUGCACAUGCUCUAGCUCUCAUCUGCUGCUAAUUUAAGUUAGCAAUAAUGCAUAUAAGCAUUAUUAUCAGUGUAAAACUGCUGCAGGUGUGUUGCAAAUCAUGCUCUUAAGUUUCAAAUGUAGGAUUGGUUGCCAGAACUGAGCAUGAAAUCAGAAAGAGUGAGUUAGGAAAUUUGUUGCAUAUAUUAAAAAAAAAAUAAAUAAAUCCUAUGUACAAGGAAUUCCUGGGAGACUAUGUUUGGUAAUAGGCUUAAAAUACCAACUGCAGAACUUUUCCACCACAUUCCUUACUUGUUUAUAACUCUAUUCCAAACCUUUUGUUCAGAGCAUUUAUGAACGGGACGUUGAUUUUUCUUUUGGAAAAGGAAGCAGUCAACACUUGAAUCUCCAUAGCAGCUUGGAAUUUGGAUGCAAAUUAAAUACUUUCAGAGUAAAAAAAAUUCAAAAAAUUGUAUGUAGAUUCCUGUGUAUAUGCUUGUGCUUGCAUAUUUGCUAAUUAUAUUAACCACAUGGCUGAAGAAACUGGCAGCCUGAUGAGAUGUUGAGUGACUUAGGAUUAAUGAAAGUAGAAAGUAUUUAGCAGUUUAUAGUAUUAGGGCUAAAUUUAUAUAGUUAUAUGUGGAAAAAAAACACCAACUCACUAUAUAGAGUUAGCUAGACCUUAAAUCACAGUCUGGAAAAAAAAGUCUAGAUGAUUUAACAUAUAGGAGAGACUUUAGCUGGAAUGUUUCAAAGCUCAUCUGUCAAGUACAACAGCUUAUUUUUAAAAGAUACAUAUCAUCUACAUUUUUUACUGUAUUUCGUUACAAUGCUCUACUUUAUUCUACACAGUUUGAAUACAUAAGAAAUACCUGUUGGUUUUCUGAGAUCAGGUAGCUUCUGACUUUCACUUACUUUUUUUGAGCCCAGUUGAUGCAUCUGUACUCUGCACAUUAGUAUUCUUGAAAGAAGCAGAGAUAAACCCUCCUUUUGCUCAGAAAAUAUGAUGUGUCUUUAAGUCAUUGCAACUUCCAUUAUUAUUUCUGCACUUGAUAGUGUUCUGGAUCUUCUUGUUCUUAUCUGACAGAGUACCCAGCCUUAUAUGUCAGGUAAGGUGUUUGACCAGUAAUGUACUGUUAGGACUUCAGUAGCAUUGUUUAUCUCAGAUUUGAAAAGUAGUUUGCAGGUAUUUAGUAAGAAUGAUGAAUGCUAUUCUUUGCACGUCAGAAUUAUUGUAAUCAGGUUAGAAGGAUGCUUCCUUAGUUGACUCACUAACAAGCUUGAGUGGAGAGAAACGUGGAGAGAUGCAUGGAGAAAAGUAUUUGUAGGGCAUGCAACCGUUGCAGAGGUGGAAGGCAGAUAAAUUACUGUUGAGUUUAAAAGAAGAAUUUCAGUAAUAAAGGAGAGGAAAUGUUUCUGAAUAAAACUGGUUUUUUAAUUAUGAAAAUCCUUAAUUUUUAAAGCAAAGGGAAUAAUUUCACCCAUAGCUAUAUCUGAAUGCUGUAAAUGAGCAAACAAAAAGCCUUUCCUCCUGUUCACUGAUAUGUGUAUUUUCUUCUAGGGUCAGUCCACUGAUUUUUAAUGGUUUUGUAUCCUGAUGCUCCCUAUAGAGCUCACGCAGUGCUAGGGUUAGGGGAUAGGUUCCAGUGUGUUUCUCACUUCUCUUGUGGAGUCAUUUACCUACACCAGUUUAAAAGUUCAGUCAGUCAUAUUUCUGUAAAGUUACUGAAGGCAACAGGGAAGCUACAAGGUGUGUGAGGGCAUACAUCUUUCCUUAUGAGUGAUGAUAGGAGACCUGAACUCAUUUCUUAGAUCCCAAACUUGGUUUGGCAGUGAGUUGGUAUGAAGAAUAUCUUUGGAUUUGGAAUAGAUCAGAUAUUUUUCAAAUUGGAAAGCCAUCCACUGAGGCAUAAUAAGCAGGAAACACCAUGGCAGAGUUUUUGAAGUGGAAUGUAUUUUUCUAAGUGAAAGUUGAGGCUGAGGAAAGAGCAGAAAUUAGGUGGGUUUUUCUAGUUAACUCCAUUUUCUGCCUCCCUACCCAUGAAGAGAGAGCACAUACAGGCUUAUCUCAAAGCUUAGUGCUUCUGUGCUGAAUUCUUCUCUUUAUUGCUAUAUGUUUGAAUUGCCAGUUGGUUCCCUUUCUCUGUAUUUUUCAGCUGAGGUUACCACUACUAACCUACCAGAGAGUGAAAUAAGACAAUAAUAAGGAACUGUGAUGGAGAUACAAUGCGGCAAUGGCAAUUUAUGAUUUGGCUUCUGGCAUGCUUCUAUUUUGAUGAAUAACUCAAUGCAGUGGAAGGUUGUGAAAAGAAGCCACUUUGCAUUAACACUUAAAUUUACCGUGAAAGACUAACAAGAAUUGUUUAGGCACUGGAAAUAACACGCAAAUCUGCCGGUUCUUCUCCACCAUAAUCUUGGUUCAUGUGCCUGUUCCCAUUUAGUGUCCUUUGCAAAAGGCAAGCAAGGACCUAGAUGGCUCAAGUGUUUAUAAUGAGUCUGUUGAGGGUGAAGGGUUUCUUAUAACUUCAAAACAGUGCUGUCCAUUAAUACCCUAAUAAGCCAGAAAAUCACAGGGCACUAAGGUUAGAAUUUGAACAUCUUUUUAUUUCAUUCACAGAGUUCAAAGCUGCAAGUUUUGCCCUUAGCAUAAUUGCCCAAAUAAAGUGUUUGUUCUAUUAACAUAAUAUUUCCAUUUCCAUCUCUUUCUUGAUUGUGCUUAAGACCAUCAAUUAGAAUAAAAAUAUGAAUAGAAAUAAUUAUUUCAUCAGAAAAAUAAUUCUGCAUGAGAAAAUUUUGUGGCUCAUACAGAUAAAGGAAAUUAGAGGCUAUAAGAAAGUAAUAGACUUUCCUAUUAAAAUCUGACCAUAUAACGUCUUACUUCAUAGCAGAGGAAAGCCUAAUACGAUAAGAUUUUUUUAGCUUCUUUUAAUUAACUUUCCAUCCUAUUAGACUUGAUCUGCAGUUAACUUUCAUUUCACAGGUAUUCAUGAUUGUUAUGCUCCUGUGAAUUACUAAACCAUGAAGCUCAGACAUGAUGGUUAAUAACUAUGCAAAGUAAUCUUUUAGUUGAUUUUUCUAACAGUGACCCUAAAAUUUAAGUGUAAAUGCUUCAAGUAAUACAGUAAGCAGUAAUAUGGAAAAUAUAUUCAAGCGUAUGACUAUAUAUCUCUUUAAAUAGUGAUUCCACAGCAAUCUGAUCUGCCCUGGUCUAUGAAUAUUAACUGUUGGUUUGAAAAAAUACCAAAACCACACAACGAACCCCCACAUUUUGAAAGGUAGUGCUCCGACUUCUUUAACGGAGAAAACAAUUAAAAAUUUGGGAUAGUGAGAUAUAAGUUAUCAUGGUGUGAAGACAAGGGAGAAAGGACACCAAAGACACCUUAAGCAGAAAUAAUUAAUAGCAGAAAGCAGUCAUCCUGAUUUUUUGUUCAAAAAGCUCUUAAAAUCUGUAUGAACCUAAAUAUUCUGGUGUUCAUCUCCUCAGCUUUAGCUAUGGACAUACUACCUGUGGUUCUGAAAUAGAUACAAGUAUCACCGUUAUAGAAUGAUAGAAUGGUUUGGGUUGGGAGGGACCCCAAAGAUCAUCUAGAUCCAACCCCCUCACCAUGGGUGGGGACCUGCUCUUUCCAGUAGAGCAGGUUGCUCAGGGCUCAAUGCAGCUUGGCCCUGAACACUUUCAGGGAUGGGGCAUCCAUUACUUCUCUGGGAAACCUGUUCCAGUGCCUCACCACUUUCACAAGUAACAAGUUUCUUCCGAAUGUCUAAUCUAAACAUACUUUGUUUCAGUUCAGAGCCCUUGUCCUAUCAUUACAUGUCCUUAUAAGAAGUUCCUCUCCAGAUUUCUUGUAGGCUCCUUUCAGGAGAGGUGCUCUAGGCCUCAGUUCUGUGGCUGUCCUAUGGAAUUGCUUCAAGAGGUCCAUGACCUUCUUAUAUUGGGGGCCUCAGAUAUUAAUAUCAUCGAUAUUAAAGUAAGUUAACUUUUGGAAUGAGAUCUAUUUCUCUUCUAAUCCAAUCUUUUAUGAAAGCAGAGCAAAUACCCUUCCCAGCCACUUUCUUGCUAUAAUGCAACCUCUGAUAAACAGCUUAAAGCAUUGGCUUCUGAAUCACAGUAGAGUUUAUUCCAGUCAUUCAGUAUGUUCAAAAAGAGGAUUCAAACUUGCCUGCAGCAGUCUUUCACUGCUGUAAUCCUGAACUUUCAGAAGGAAAUUUGCAAAAACGGCACGCUUUCUUUAUGCGUCUGCUCUUCAUGGUUAGUAUUAAACUUGCCUGUAAAAACAAACAAGAAGUCCUGCCAAAAAUCCAUCCCCAAAUGCCUGAAUCACAGCACUAUCCCCUCUUGUCUUUUCCAAAUGAUAGACAGAACUAGCUCACAUAUAGAAAGCUCCUUUACAAAGGGCUCCCCUGCAGUGCUUCAGAGCUGCAGAGAGCUCAUAUGUUAGUUAGCUCUAUUGUACGUCUGAUGCAGUUACAAGCACUGCCUAGUAGGAAAACUGACGUCAAAGCACAGAUUAAAUAGUAAUUUCCCAUUCUGUCUCCAAACACCUCUGCUUGAGGUCUCAAGGGGAUUCUAUUGCAUUUAAACAUUAUUACUAUCAAAAGGAAAGAGCGUCUCACAUCCUCUGAACUGUUGUGAGAGAACAUCACCUAACAUACUACUCAAAAGGUUGUCAUUCCAUUUUUUUCUUUCCAGAGGAAGAGUUGUGGCUACAUUUGUUUACGUAUACUCAUUACUGUGGUUUCUACGUAGGAUUUUCUACCGCUUCGUAAUGGUAAUUUGGUAGAAGAAGCCAGCAGUCUACUUAGUAGUGAACUCCUCAUCACCGAAACUCUCUUACAUUACAGUUUUCUUCUACAGGUUACUGGGUAUUAAAGCCUUGGUGUAUCCAACAUCAGCUCAUCUUGCUGAUGGGGAACUUGGCUUAGCCUUUUAGGAUGGCUGUGAAGCAACCUUUGUAUUAACUCUGAGGAAUAUUUUGGCUUGUUCUUGGCUGAGGAGGAGGAGACUGAAGUCCUGGAGUCCCAGGACUUGAUUUUGGAUUCCCAAAGACUUGUUGUAGCAUAAGGAAAAUAACAUUAUGAGCAGGGCUGUGCUGCUGGAUUAGCCAUCAUUUGGAACAUGAGUUAAUAAGAGUCCCUGAUUUAUUGCAGUUUUUCUACGUGUGCUAGAAUAGGUCAUUUCGGUUCUUUACUUUUACAUCUCAAUUACUCUAGGAGGGAAUGUAAAAGUGCUCAAACUCAGUAGAAGACGACGAGCCCUAUCAUAACCCUUAUCAUUCCCUUUGAUUAGUAAAAGAAAUAAGUUUAGUUGUGAAGACACAGGUAAAUGAAUCUUGUUCAAAGCCUACUGGAAUAAGCUUCUUCCCAACCAUUACACUGUAAAUUCUCUUGACUCUACAUUUUACCAGGAAAUGCUGAAAAGGCAAUAAUGCCAAAAAGACAUAAAUCCAACUUAUAUUCAUUCAUAAACAUCCCUAUUUUCUUCUACAGCUUGCUAAACACUUUCCUUGGUACAGUGUGUACACUGUUAAAGGUCCUUGUUAAAGGCCUGUAAUAGUACUGAUUCCCAUGUACCCUCAAGAAUAAGGUAUAGCUGCAUCAGUGAAGAGACUUCUAAAGUGGAAUCCUUUCAAUCUUGAAUGUCUUCCAGAGUUAUAAGUAAUUCCUGGGAUGAUCCUGGAUUAUUCAGCCAUCCAAGAGGUAGACAACACUUUUCUUUCUGAGCUUGUGCUUUGCUUGAUUUUUUUUACAACUCCAAGAUAAAAACCACAAUAGCUAUCUCUGGAUAAAACCUGCAAAUGCAGGUUCUUCCCAGCAUUGAUUUACGUCUCUAAGAGGAACGGGAAAUGCUAAAAGAAGAGGGCUUAUUGAAGGCAGAACUAGAAUCACUACUUUGCCAUCAGAACUGAAGUUUAAGUUCAUUACAAGAGAAACCUUUUGCCAGUAAGUCUACUAUGCUCUGGAUCCAUCCCUCACAAAGCAAGGGAGGAAGGCCUAUCCACUGAGUUACUUCCAGCUGGACUAGCUGCAGAUUCUGAGAAUGCAAUGUCCUUGUGCUUACUUAGGGGUUAAUUAGAUUACUUUGUAGGAUCUUUCAACAGAAAUGGCACAUGUAACCUAGUAUCCAAGUGAUUAAAAAUAUUGCACUGAAAAUGAGUCCUGUCACCUUUCAGGUGGUUGUAGAGAGCAACAAGAUCUCCUCUGAGCCUCCUUUUCUCCAGGCAAAACUACCUCAGCCGCUCCUCAUAUGACUUACACUCUAAACUCUCCCCCAGCUCCAUUGCCCCUCUCUGGACUUGCUUCACCACCUCAGUGUCUGUCUUGCAAUGGUGGGCCCAGAACUGGACACAGCACUCCAGGUGUGGCCUCACCAGUGCCAAGUACAGAGGGACGAUCACUGCCCUGGUACUGCUGGCCACACUGUUUCUGAUGCAGACUAGGAUGCUACUGGCCUUCUUGGCGACCUGAGCACUCUGCUGGCUCAGCUUCAUCCAGCUGUCAAGCAGCACCCACAGGUCCUUCUCUGCUAGGCUGCUUCCAGCCACUCUACCCCAUGCUUGGGUCAUGGGUUCUUAUGACCCAAGUGCAGAACCCAGCACUUGACCUUGCUGAACUUCAUACAGUUGAUCUCAGCCUACUGAUCCAACCGUACAACAGCAUAUGGUUUCUUGGGAUGCAACUAAUAAGAAGGGAUGUGGUAGUCAUGAAGCAUCUACUAGCAUUUGGACAAACUGUUGACAUGUAUUUUUACCUACUUCAUAGCUGUAUACUGAAGAAAGGAAGAUAUACUAAUAUAACCUUGCUGCUCUGUGUUUGCAGAUUAUCAGAAAACUAUAUACAUUUCAGUAUACCAUAAAUAUGCAGUUUGGCUAGUAUUCCUGCUCCCACUCAAAUUAUUGGAUGACACUAUGCUACUGAGUUUGUCAGAAUGAGAAUCUGGUUUGUGGUUCCAAAAUCCCUCAGGAUUCUGAAAGACUUUGUUCCAUGUCUGGAAUGACUUUUAGGAUUAAAUAAAUUUGGCUUUACAUAAAAAGAGCCCUAGCUGGGCUGACUACAAAUAUCAGUCUUGAGUCUUUCAAAAACCACAUCAGGUCUUUCUUAUGGGAGACAGAUACAGCUGAGCAGAGAUGCAUGGGAAGAAUGCUUUCGGGCCAGUGAUAUUGGAUGGGCUGCUUAACACUGGAAGCAUCAAAUAUUCUUUGAUUUGGAGGACUGUGGAAAGAUAAUAAGCUUAUGGCAAACACCUGAAAAAUUCUUUACUUUAGAGAGCUGUGGUAGUUUAGCCCUAUAAUUUCCUUAGCUUCGAUAACUGUAAAUGUGCUUUCAUAUUUGAUGAUAGUUUCCUAGCUAAUUUCUAUAAAGAAGCCUCAUUAAUUAACUCUUACACACAAACCCAAGCAAAAUGUCGUGUUGGACUUUGUCAGUCGUGCUCAUGUAGACAUUCUUUCUAUAGAUUGCUUUUUAUUUCUGAGCUUCACAUGGGUUUAUAAUGAGAGAGCUUUUUGCCAGUACAAACAGCUGGUGCAAGGAAAGUGAUAUAACUAAUUUAUCUUCUUAGGCUCUUCCUAUCUUCCAGUGUUUUGUACUGUACCAGCUGAUUCAAUACACUUCUCUUGCAGUUUAAGUUAGUGUGGAUAGUUGAUGGGAAUCACAGGAAGAGAUUUUUAUUCUGAGUUGGGGGUAGGGAUGAGGGUAUGCUUUUAAAAUUAGUAUUUUAGUCCUAUUAAUCUAUAAGCUAUUUGUUAUUUGUGGUGUGCUAAGCAUUCAUUUGGCUAGAUGUCUGAAAAAUACUACUCUAAGAAAGGUUAAAAGCAUACAAGGAUGAACAGGUUGUUUUGGAAGCUAGUACAGGAAGCUUAUAAAGCCUUGAUAGUACAGAUGCUUUUACUCCCAGUCCUUCAAUCUACUUUAAGCUUAUGAAAAUAAAAUAAAGCUGCAAUGGUUAUGCUUUUUAAUCUUUGUUUUUCUGAAGAAUAAUUUUCUAAAUGUUAAGUAAUAAAAUACUGUCUUGUAGUUUUAUGUGGAAGCAUUCAGGAUUCAAUUUUCAAAUUAGGACAUCUAGGUUUUACUAUUAACAGCUAGAAAUUUUUUUAAAAAAUGAAGGAGGUAUUCCCAGCCUCAGCAGAAAUUGCUGGACCAAGAUUUUCCAAAGACCUCUGCUUCUAUUCAAGCACCUCUGAAUUGAACAAGUAAAGAAAAAAUUUCUUAUCACCCUUAAAAUCCCCUUAUAACUAUAACAUCAAGAUUUCCUUUACAAAAUCUUGUCAUUUUUUUAAGUGUCUCUGGCUCCAGCUGUGGUUCUUUAGCUCUUUUGAUCUUCCAGGCAGUAAAAGUCUUUUCCAGACCCUCAUGCAACGAGUUAGGCAUUUAUUGUCAAAUAGAGCAUAAGUAUUUUCUGGAGUGGCCUGACACAGACUGCACAGUUGGCAGGCAGACCCAUGCCUUACAGUCUGUUUUGCAUCAAAGAGAAGGCACUCAAUUCUAAUGUGCUGAAGGGGGAUAUUUCACUACUCUGAAAAUCCAGCUGCAAGUCAUGACAAAUACUGAUUAAAAUUCAAAGCUUAAAUGCCUCUUUGUGAAACUCCCUAAGUACAAUUAAACCAGAGGCUCAGAAUCCUGGUUGGGAGUGAUGUCCAGGGACACUAGCCUUGUAACCUCGUCAAAAAUCUCCUCUGAGGUCUGAAAAGGCCUCACUUCUGUAAUUUUUUUUUCUUAUUUCUAACCAUUUUUUUUUGAUCUCAAAUGAAUCCUCAAAAUUUCCUAUGUAGACUAACAUUUUUCUUCCUGUAACCUGCAUGUUCUGUCCCUGAGAUAACCUUGACCAGGUUUCCUUUUCUUUGGUUUGACCUCUUCCCUUCCUAACAUGUUUACCAAAGAGAUGUAGGAGAUAGGUCCAGUGUAGUCUUCCAGCAAAGGCAUUGUACAUUCCAGCUACAGCUGCACUGUGCUUAUAGGGAGUGCAACCUCAUCACUUCUGAAGCAGGAGUUCUCAUAUAACUCCUCUCAGAAUUGGACCCUUUUCAGUAAUGCCUCUAAAACCACUAUGGGCUAUUGUAUUUUUGUGGGGUGUAUUGCUUAUUUAACAUUCCCCGGCACUAUACUGAUCUCUCAAUGUCUUUAGAGAUGCUAUUAUUCCUCAUGUUAAUAAGUACCAAAACUUCCUACCUGUUUGUUAUUGUAUUUAUGCAAAAGUACCACUGGCCACAUCUACAAGAAGGAUAGUCCCAUUCUUCCUAGAAAUUCAAGCUCAAGAUAGCCCCCACUUCCACCAAUUGGUGGUAGCAUGACCUUUAUGAUGGCUUAUGAAAUGAUCUUGCUGGCAUUCAUGACAGAAAGCUAAACUACGAGCAGUGCUUACAACCUCCUCCUGGAGAGAAUCAUCGUAGGCAGGGUCCAAAGCCUUAUAUGUAACUUUUGCAGUCUUCUAAAACAUCAACCAAAGCAUGUUUUUUUCUGGGGUCCUUCUUGGAAGGACUCUGAUGUCAGGAUUAUGAUCUUUUUACAAGAAAAAUAUGGAUAUCAUGUGUGUCAUUAAAGAUUAGCUCAGUUGGUUAGAGCAUAGUGCUAAUAACACCAAGGUUGGGGGUUUGAUCCCUAUCUGGGACAUUCACUUAAAAAUUGGACAUGAUGAUCCUUGUGGGUCCCUUCCAACUCAGAAUAUUCUGUGAUUCUAUGAAUUCAGAGGAAGCUGAGGACCCCUCCAGAACAUACAGUAUUUGUAAUCCUGUUUAGUUUUAGUAGACUCAGAACUGAUUAGUAAUAUCUUCUUGAACUUUGUAGCAUAGGAGAAAGUAGUCUCCACCUUAAUGCUAGCAGUAGCAGCAUUUUCUGUCACUAGGCAAAAAAAAGAAAUGCCAAUCACUUUGGGAAUGCUUUGGAAAGUUAGAGCCAAAACAACCUGGCAUUUUGAGUGAUUGAUUCAAAUAGAAGGUAAUAGUCAGGGUAAAGAGUGUGUCCUAGCAUAGCUUAUGAUUUCUCCUCACCCUUUUCCCCUCCUGACCUCCCCCAGAAAUGUGGAGAACCCGCUGGAAUGUGCUUUGCCCUUUCUGGAGAGGCAUGGAUGGUACACCCCUCGCCCUCCCCUUCCCCUCUGCCCACCCACUCCCCAGGUCCUUGCUUGCUGUUCUGUUUUUCUACUUUCCCUAAAUGCAACUUACUUUAAGCAUGCAUUAUUAUUAACAUCCUACAGUAAAAUUAAGCUAUUAUAUAACCCAUUUGUCGACCUCAGCCAAUUUCUUUUAUCUUUUUCUAUGUCUAUUUAUGACGUACAUCGAGACUGCACGUCCUUUUUUUUUUCCUCUCCAUGUUUAUUUUAAAAAUAAAAGAUUAAAAAAAAGAUCUAUUAAAAAAAAAAGCAACACUAGAGGGUGGUGGGGUUUUGGCCAACAAUUCAAAACAAAUUUAAGGGGGAGGGGGAUGGAAUGAAAGAGAAACCGAUAUUUAAAAAAAAAAAAAUCUAAAUUAUGAAAGUGUCCCUAGACUGCUUUGUCUGUUCCUUUCAAUGUGCACAUCUGGUUUGUUCAUCUUUGGAAGUGUGUGGAAUAAUUUUUUCUUUAAAAAUAAAAUUUCAAACCCCCACAAUUGCUCUUAUCUCCCUUCUUCCUGGGAACAAAGUGCUCUUUUUCUUUUUUUUUGCUUUUUUUUUUAGUAUAUCUCUACAUAGUUAUAUUUUGAUGUAUUUCUUUUCAAUGGUUGAAUUUCUAUCUUAGAUUUGCUUUGUUCCAAUCUUAUAAUGAAAAAAAAACCAAACAAAACAAAAGAGUUAUGAAUUGUUUUCUGCAAUUUUUUCCCUCUAUUUCUGUCUUUAAAUAAGGAACUACUUCACUGGCAGAAUCCUACAGCUGUAUUUUUGAGAUUUUCCCUGGAGAAUCUGAAUAUGCAAGCAGUCUAAUUUGACAGUGGGGAAGGGGGUGCCAGCACAACAAUUACAGUCAAAACACUCAUUUGAUGUGCUCAAGAAAUGAUUGUCUCAAAUUGCUGAGAAUACUGAUGUCAAUUUGAUGGACUUCAGAAAAUAUGAUUCUUAGAAGAAGGCUGUGGGUAGCUACAGAUGAAGUUGUUCUAAUUCCAAUGCAUAAAACUAGUUUCCUUGUUUUUUUUGUUUUACUCUCUGGUUAUUAUUAUUAUUAUUAUUAUUAUUAUUAUUAUUAUUAGUUUAUGUAUUUUUACUGCUAUUUUUAGUAGGGAAAAGUCUUAACUGUUUUUAUAAUUUGAAAACCUUUAAUGAAAAUGUAAAUAUUAUUACUAUAAUUAUUAAUUUUUUUGUAACUUGCAUGUUGAAGAAGUUGCAGCUUAGGGUUUGUGAGAUUGUCAAUGUUAGAGUUCUGUUCUUUCUUUUUGUUGAUGGGCAUGAAUAUGCUCAUUUGUUUUUGUAUAUUGCCCAUCCCUUCCUUACAGCCAGAAGCUCUAAUGCUGCUAGAUCACUCCGUACCGCCCUUACAUGGACAUGGCAACUGACUUACACAUUCACUCCCAUCAUCUUCAUCUCCUGUGUAGUACACUCAUAGAUUUUUACACUCCCACUCCAUCCACCCUAGGCAUUUUUUCUUCCCAUAAGUUCCCCUUCACCACCCCUUUCUUUAGCAUUGUUAAAAUUUUAUGUGCAGUCAUCCAUUCCUUAAAACACACACACACAAAAAUUAUAGAAAAAAAGAAAA